rnacentral:sRNA from 1 species
GUAGAUGCUCAUUCCACCUCUUAUGUUUGCGCAAGCUUCAUAAACCUGGGAAUGAUGCAGAGCCGUUUACGAUACCUGUUGUCCAGCCACCACUAUCGUCGCGAGAUCUUAAUGGUAAAGGGCACUACGUUGAGUCAGGUAUCAGUCAAAUUGUCUUACCGACCUGAACUUUAUACCUGCCGGACUGGCAGGUUUUUUUUU